GAUGAACGCUAGCGGCAGGCCUAAUACAUGCAAGUCGGACGGGAUCCAUUGAUAGCUUGCUAUCAAUGGUGAGAGUGGCGCACGGGUGCGUAACGCGUGAGCAACCUGCCUCCAUCAGGGGGAUAGCCUCUCGAAAGAGAGAUUAACACCGCAUAAUAUCAACAGUUCGCAUGUUCAGUUGAUUAAAUAUUUAUAGGAUGGAGAUGGGCUCGCGUGACAUUAGCUAGUUGGUAGGGUAACGGCUUACCAAGGCGACGAUGUCUAGGGGCUCUGAGAGGAGAAGCCCCCACACUGGUACUGAGAAACGGACCAGACUCCUACGGGAGGCAGCAGUAAGGAAUAUUGGUCAAUGGGCGGAAGCCUGAACCAGCCAUGCCGCGUGCAGGAUGACUGCCCUAUGGGUUGUAAACUGCUUUUGUCCAGGAAUAAACCUAAAUACGAGUAUUUAGCUGAAUGUACUGGAAGAAUAAGGAUCGGCUAACUCCGUG
rnacentral:rRNA from 1 species